rnacentral:rRNA from 1 species
GACGAACGCUGGCGGCGUGCUUAACACAUGCAAGUCGAACGGAAAGGCCCUGCUUUUGUGGGGUGCUCGAGUGGCGAACGGGUGAGUAACACGUGAGUAACCUGCCCUUGACUUUGGGAUAACUUCAGGAAACUGGGGCUAAUACCGGAUAGGAGCUCCUGCUGCAUGGUGGGGGUUGGAAAGUUUCGGCGGUUGGGGAUGGACUCGCGGCUUAUCAGCUUGUUGGUGGGGUAGUGGCUUACCAAGGCUUUGACGGGUAGCCGGCCUGAGAGGGUGACCGGCCACAUUGCGACUGAGAUACGGCCCAGACUCCUACGGGAGGCAGCAGUGGGGAAUAUUGCACAAUGGGAGGAAGCCUGAUGCAGCAACGCCGCGUGCGGGAUGACGGCAUUCGGGUUGUAAACCGCUUUCGCCUGUGACGAAGCGUGAGUGACGGUAAUGGGUAAAGAAGCACCGGCUAACUACGUG